rnacentral:rRNA from 1 species
UAACCGGAUUAGAUACCCUGGUAGUCCACGCCCUAAACGAUGCGAACUGGAUGUUGGGUGCAAUUUGGCACGCAGUAUCGAAGCUAACGCGUUAAGUUCGCCGCCUGGGGAGUACGGUCGCAAGACUGAAACUCAAAGGAAUUGACGGGGGCCCGCACAAGCGGUGGAGUAUGUGGUUUAAUUCGAUGCAACGCGAAGAACCUUACCUGGCCUUGACAUGUCGAGAACUUUCCAGAGAUGGAUGGGUGCCUUCGGGAACUCGAACACAGGUGCUGCAUGGCUGUCGUCAGCUCGUGUCGUGAGAUGUUGGGUUAAGUCCCGCAACGAGCGCAACCCUUGUCCUUAGUUGCCAGCACGUAAUGGUGGGAACUCUAAGGAGACCGCCGGUGACAAACCGGAGGAAGGUGGGGAUGACGU